GUCAGGAACUCCAGACCCACACUACAUGGGCUCAGAUCUGGCACUGUCACAUCCCCAUCUUAAAGUUGGGAAGCUGCAACCCAGAGAGGUCUAAGGAGUUGGGGCGUCUGAACCCACCGCAAGGACACAAGAACUCAGGAGUAUGCAGUGACCACCCUUUCCUUCAGACCAGGCUGAAUUUAAGAAAAAACCUAUCCCAACUCAAUCCUGCGUCUCGCUCGGAACCCCAACAGGAACUUGCGGGAACCAACGACGGGGAGGGAUGUUGGUUGAACCGCUGGUGCCCCCUCCACCGAGAAGGGACGGAAGGAGUUGCUGCACAGAUCUUCCCGGGAUGGGGGGCGGUGGUGCGGUGAGCAAGGCUGGGAGUGGGGAAGGGGUGCGGGGAGCCCCUGUUGCUUCUCCUCUUUGGGGGGUGGCUAUUAGGUAGGCUUGAGGAAGGCGGAGUUUGGGGGGCCGGGGGCGGGGCUCCUGCGCUGAGAGGAAGAGGGGGGGCGCGCUGGCUCCAGCUCGGCUCAGACAAAAGGCGGC